GGCUAUAUCACACCGGUUCCCGUACGAUCACCGAAGUUAAGAAACGUCGAGUCUGGUCAGUACCUAGAUGGGUGACUAUUUGGGAAUACCAUGUGCUGUAAG